rnacentral:rRNA from 1 species
CGAACGAACGCUGGCGGCAUGCCUAACACAUGCAAGUCGAACGAGACCUUCGGGUCUAGUGGCGCACGGGUGCGUAACGCGUGGGAAUCUGCCCUUAGGUUCGGAAUAACAGUUAGAAAUAACUGCUAAUACCGGAUAAUGUCUUCGGACCAAAGAUUUAUUGCCUAAGGAUGAGCCCGCGUAAGAUUAGCUUGUUGGUGAGGUAAAGGCUCACCAAGGCGACGAUCUUUAGCUGGUCUGAGAGGAUGAUCAGCCACACUGGGACUGAGACACGGCCCAGACUCCUACGGGAGGCAGCAGUGGGGAAUAUUGGACAAUGGGCGAAAGCCUGAUCCAGCAAUGCCGCGUGAGUGAUGAAGGCCUUAGGUUGUAAAGCUCUUUUACCCGGGAUGAUAAUGACAGUACCGGAGAAGUAAGCCCCGGCUAACUCCGUGUCAGCAGCCGAC